rnacentral:sRNA from 1 species
AUUCUGCCCAAGCGGGGAAGGAUGAGAAGCUUCGACCAAGGUUCGACUCGAGCGCCAGCGAGAGAGCGUGGCCGCAGGCAACGACCCGAAGGGCGAAGCGCGCAGCGCUGAGUAAUCCCCCCACCACCAUCA